GACGAACGCUGGCGGCGCGCCUAACACAUGCAAGUCGAACGAGAGAUGAGGAGCUUGCUCUUCAAAUCGAGUGGCGAACGGGUGAGUAACGCGUGAGGAACCUGCCUCAAAGAGGGGGACAACAGUUGGAAACGACUGCUAAUACCGCAUAAGCCCACGGCUCGGCAUCGAGCAGAGGGAAAAGGAGCGAUCCGCUUUGAGAUGGCCUCGCGUCCGAUUAGCUAGUUGGUGAGGUAACGGCCCACCAAGGCGACGAUCGGUAGCCGGACUGAGAGGUUGAACGGCCACAUUGUGACUGAGACACGGCCCAGACUCCUACGGGGGGCAGCAGUGGGGAAUAUUGCACAAUGGGGGGAAACCCUGAUGCAGCGACGCCGCGUGGAGGAAGAAGGUCUUCGGAUUGUAAACUCCUGUUGUUGAGAGAUAAUGACGGUACUCAACAAGGAAGUGACGGCUAACUACGUG
rnacentral:rRNA from 1 species